GUUCUCCUUCAAAAGAAACAGGGUGAAGUAAUCCAGGCAAAGAAUCGAUACGAAAAUGGUUUACAAAGGUUGAAGAAUGCCGCUUCGGAGGUAUCGGUUAUGCAACGGGAAUUGGAAGAAUUGCAACCACAGCUCGCAGUUGCUGGUAAAGAGGUCGACGA